GACGAACGCUGGCGGCGUGCUUAACACAUGCAAGUCGAACGGAAAGGCCCUUCGGGGUACUCGAGUGGCGAACGGGUGAGUAACACGUGGGUGAUCUGCCCUGCACUUUGGGAUAAGCCUGGGAAACUGGGUCUAAUACCGAAUAGGACCACGCGCUUCAUGGUGUGUGGUGGAAAGCUUUUGCGGUGUGGGAUGGGCCCGCGGCCUAUCAGCUUGUUGGUGGGGUAAUGGCCUACCAAGGCGACGACGGGUAGCCGGCCUGAGAGGGUGACCGGCCACACUGGGACUGAGAUACGGCCCAGACUCCUACGGAAGGCAGCAGUGGGGAAUAUUGCACAAUGGGCGCAAGCCUGAUGCAGCGACGCCGCGUGAGGGAUGACGGCCUUCGGGUUGUAAACCUCUUUCACCAGGGACGAAGCGUAAGUGACGGUACCUGGAGAAGAAGCACCGGCCAACUACGUG
rnacentral:rRNA from 1 species